ACACUAUUGAGGUAUAUAAGAAGCUAUCUGUAUCGAAUAGCAGUCAGUGUUUUUGAAAAAGCAACACGUAAUCAUGAAAUUCUUUGGUGUUCUCGCAAUUCUCCUACUCGGCCUUUUGGCCUUCGUGAAGGCUGAUGGUGACGUUUGCCUCGCGAUUUACGACCCUGUGUGUGGGGACGAUGGUAACACCUAUGGCAACGACUGCUUAAUGAAUCUAGCAGGAGCCAAGCUGGCUCAUAAAGGCAAAUGCUAAAACGUGGAAGAUUACUUUAACAUUAUUAUAAUAGCUACAAGUUUUUAAUAAAUAAUAUUAAUUAAAUAAAGGAAGAUGUUUAA
rnacentral:lncRNA from 1 species